CCUACGGGAGGCAGCAGUGGGGAAUUUUGCGCAAUGGGGGAAACCUUGACGCAGCGACGCCGCGUGAGUGAUGAAGGCCUUCGGGUUGUAAAGCUCUGUUGGGGGGGAAGAUAGUGACGGUACCCCCUGAGGAAGCCCCGGCUAACUACGUGCCAGCAGCCGCGGUAAGACGUAGGGGGCGAGCGUUGUCCGGAAUUACUGGGCGUAAAGGGCGUGUAGGCGGCCUUUCAAGUCGGCUGUGAAAUUCCCCGGCUUAACCGGGGGGGUGCAGUCGAAACUGGGGGGCUUGAGUACAGGAGAGGGUGGUGGAAUUCCCGGUGGAGCGGUGACAUGCGUAGAUAUCGGGAGGAACACCGGUGGCGAAGGCGACCUCCUGGCCUGUUACUGACGCUGAGGCGCGAAAGCCGGGGGAGCAAACAGGAUUAGAUACCCUGGUAGUCCCGGCCGUAAACUCUGGGUACUAGGUGUAGGGGGCUUCGAUGCCUUCUGUGCCGUAGUUAACGCAUUAAGUACCCCGCCUGGGGAGUACGAUCGCAAGGUUGAAACUCAAAUGAAUUGACGG
rnacentral:rRNA from 1 species